rnacentral:rRNA from 1 species
AUUUUUUUGAGAGUUUGAUCCUAGCUCAGGAUGAACGCUUGCUGUGUGCCUAAUACAUGCAUGUUGAACGGGAUGUUUUAGUUUACUAAAACAUUUAGUAGCGAAUGGGUGAGUAACACGUACCUAACCUACCUUUAGGAUUGGGAUAACUACUGGAAACAGUAGCUAAUACCGAAUAUAAUAUUUUUUCGCAUGAAGAAAUAUAGAAAGGAGCCUUUAAAGCUUCACCUAGAAAUGGGGGUGCGGAACAUUAGUUAGUUGGUGAGGUAAUGGCUCACCAAGACAAUGAUGUUUAGCGGGGCCAAGAGGUUGUACCGCCACACUGGGACUGAGAUACGGCCCAGACUCCUACGGGAGGCAGCAGUAAGGAAUUUUCCACAAUGAGCGAAAGCUUGAUGGAGCGACACAGCGUGCAGGAUGAAAUCCCUCGGGAUGUAAACUGCUGUUAUAAGGAAAGAAAAAAUCAAAUAGGAAAUGAUUUGAUCUUGACGGUACCUUAUUAGAAAGCGACGGCAAACUAUGUGCCAGCAGCCGCGGUAAUACAUAGGUCGCAAGCGUUAUCCGGAAUUAUUGGGCGUAAAGCGUCCGUAGGUUUUUUGUUAAGUUUAAGGUUAAAUACUGAAGCUCAACUUCAGCCCGCUUUAGAUACUGGCAAAAUAGAAUUAUGAAGAGGUUAGCGGAAUUCCUAGUGUAGCGGUGGAAUGCGUAGAUAUUAGGAAGAACACCAAUAGGCGAAGGCAGCUAACUGGUCAUACAUUGACACUAAGGGACGAAAGCGUGGGGAGCAAACAGGAUUAGAUACCCUGGUAGUCCACGCUGUAAACGAUGAUCAUUAGUUGGUGGUAUUAAAUCACUAACACAGCUAACGCGUUAAAUGAUCCGCCUGAGUAGUAUGCUCGCAAGAGUGAAACUUAAAGGAAUUGACGGGAACCCGCACAAGCGGUGGAGCAUGUGGUUUAAUUUGAAGAUACGCGUAGAACCUUACCCACUCUUGACAUCCUUGCAAAGCUAUAGAGAUAUAGUGGAGGCUAACAAGAUGACAGAUGGUGCAUGGUUGUCGUCAGCUCGUGUCGUGAGAUGUUAGGUUAAGUCCUGCAACGAGCGCAACCCCUUUCUUUAGUUACUAACGUGAAAGACGAGGACUCUAAAGAUACUGCCUGUGUAAGCCGGAGGAAGGUGGGGACGACGUCAAAUCAUCAUGCCUCUUACGAGUGGGGCAACACACGUGCUACAAUGGCUACUACAAAGAGACGCAAGACGGUGACGUUAAGCAAAUCUCAAAAAAGUAGUCCCAGUUCGGAUUGAAGUCUGCAACUCGACUUCAUGAAGUCGGAAUCGCUAGUAAUCGCAGAUCAGCUACGCUGCGGUGAAUACGUUCUCGGGUUUUGUACACACCGCCCGUCACACCAUGGGAGUUGGUAAUGCCCAAAGUCGGUGAGUUAACUUCGGAGACCAUUGCCUAAGGCAGGACUGAUGACUGGGGUGAAGUCGUAACAAGGUAUCCCUACGAGAACGUGGGGAUGGAACACCUCCUUUCU